UCCACCUCUUCCCAUUCCGAACAGAGAAGUUAAGCCUGCCAGCGCCGAUGGUACUGCAUUCGUGGGAGAGUAGGUCGUUGCCCAAC
rnacentral:rRNA from 2 species